AAUUUAUUGGACGAGAGGACACUGAGCAGAGUCCUGCGCAUUCCGGUUCAUAGAUCGCCGGGAGGGUGGGUGAAUAGUUUGUCUGAGUUUUUCAACAAAGGAGUUGCAGGAUGCAUAAACAUGGAUGGGUUGGGUGCGGAGCGCGAGUAUCAAAGUCAUUAGCUAGUUAAUUAGUGUAUCUUUCUUUAAUGUUGAUGAACAUUCGAAGAUCUUGUAAUUGAACCAGAUUGAUUAUUUGGACAUGUUGGAUUUCUCAAUUUGAAUUAAUUAAUUAGUUGUGGAUUUAUU